rnacentral:rRNA from 1 species
UACAGAGGUCCCGAGCGUUGUUCGGAUUCACUGGGCGUAAAGGGUGCGUAGGUGGUGAGGUAAGUCGGAUGUGAAAUCUCCGAGCUCAACUCGGAAAUGGCAUUGGAAACUACCUUGCUCGAGGGUUGGAGGGGGGACUGGAAUACUUGGUGUAGCAGUGAAAUGCGUAGAUAUCAAGUGGAACACCAGUGGCGAGGGCGAGUCCCUGGACAACUCCUGACACUGAGGCACGAAAGCUAGGGGAGCAAACAGG